CGGUAAGUAGGGACACGCGACAAAAUCUCGAACGGGACACAGGGGACUUCGCGAUGGACAGCGUGCAGGGAGCUUCAACGGCGAGCUUGGAACAGGGAGCACAGGGAGGUGGGCGCCGAGCAGGAACGCGCUGGGGGGAAAUAACCGCUCGGCCAUGGGUGAGGCGAGGAGCCGGGGCGAGCUCGGGGCAUGGAGAAGCUGGGAGCCGCUGCGCGACGGCGAUAGCAGUGCUCCACAACGAGGUCGCGGCCAGGACGAGCAAGGAGCUGGGCACGGCGCUGGGCGAUCCAGGACGCGGAGGGAACUUCGCGAGCUGGGCGCAGCAUGGGGAGUACUGCAGACGGGUGACGGCGGCCAUGGGAGACAAGGGCCUCGGCUGGGAGGUGCUCGGCGCAGUGGAGCAGGGGCGGUCGGUCGAGAGGAGCAGGCGGAUGCCAGGGCGCGCGUGAUGGAAGCUGGAAGGAAGAAACUACGGUGCGCAGGGAACGGAAGGGAGGAAAAGGAGCGACUGAGCCAGAGGGAGGUCCGACUGGUGGCUACCAGAGGGAAAUCCAGCCGGAGCUGGAGCAGAUGCGCAGAGGAGGAGAGAGAUCCGGCUGGCAGGAGGGAGAAGCAGGGGCGUCGCGGCAUGGCGAGUGCGCCAGGAAACUCUGGCCGCGAGCAGAGCAGAGGGAUGCACGAGGGAGCAGAGAGCUCCGGCGAGCUGGAGAUGGUCAACGUUGGGGCAGGGGGCAGGACUGAGCGCCGCCUGAGCUCCGGCCAUGAAGGGAGUUCCGGCCACAGAGGGACGCAGGGAGCGCAGGAAGCUCCAAGCGGAGGAGACGCGCAGGGAAGAAUCGAGCUGGAGGAAGAUGGGCGCGAUUAAGGAGAAGACAUGGGCGUCGGGAUUUUAUCCAGAGCCAAAGCGGCGCGGGGACGAAGUCGAGGAAGAAAAAUCUCCCUGGUAGGCGGCGUAGAGAUAGG
rnacentral:misc_RNA from 1 species